UACGUAGGGCGCAAGCGUUGUCCGGAUUUAUUGGGCGUAAAGAGCGUGUAGGCGGUUUGGUAGGUCCGCUGUGAAAACUCGAGGCUCAACCUCGAGACGCCGGUGGAAACCAUCAGACUAGAGUCCGGAAGAGGAGAGUGGAAUUCCUGGUGUAGCGGUGAAAUGCGCAGAUAUCAGGAAGAACACCCGUGGCUAAGGCGGCUCUCUAGUACGGUACUGACGCUGAGAGGCGAAAGCAUGGGGAGCGAACAGG
rnacentral:rRNA from 1 species